rnacentral:rRNA from 1 species
CGCAUCUGUGCAUGCAGCACAUCAAUAAGCGGAGGAAAAGAAACUAACAAGGAUUCCCUCAGUAACGGCGAGUGAAGCGGGAAGAGCUCAAAUUUGAAAUCUUGAAAGGUCACCUUUCACGAAUUGUAGUUUAAAGAAGUGUUUUCUGUUACGAUCUGUAAUAUAAGUUCUUUGGAAUAGGACAUCACAGAGGGUGAGAAUCCCGUCUAUGAUUGCGAUUUGUAGCUUUGUGAUACACUUUCAAAGAGUCGGAUUGUUUGGGAAUGCAGUCCCAAAACUGGGAGGUAAAUUUCAUUCUAAAGGCUAAAUAUCGGCGAGAGACCGAUAGCGAACAAGUACCGUGAGGGAAAGAUGAAAAGAAACUUUGAAAAGAGAGUUAAAUAGUACGUGAAAUUGUCAAAAGGGAAGCGUUUAACACCAGUGUUGUUUUCUGAAAAUCAACCUCUGUUAGCUUUAUGCAUGUUUGUUUAGACCUAAUCAGCUAUCUUGCAUGUUCUAUUGUUUGCAGUGGUGCACUUUUCAGUUUACAGGUCAACAUCAGUUUUUUUUACCGCUAAAAAAGUUAAAGAAAGGUAGCUCAUGGCUCCGGUCGUGAGUGUUAUAGUCUUUUUCCUAUGCGGUAGGAGAGACUGAGGUCUGCAGUGUAGGCUAUUUGGCUAGAUACUCAGGUGCUAUGUGAUACCAUUUCAUAAACAACUUGUUGAUUAUGUUUUGUCUAUUGCAUACUCGCUUGUACUAUCAUACCUACGCUUAGGAUGUUGACGAUCAGCUGAGCGCG